rnacentral:rRNA from 1 species
AAUGGGGGCAACCCUGAUCCAGCCAUGCCGCGUGAGUGAAGAAGGCCUUAGGGUUGUAAAGCUCUUUCACCCGUGACGAUGAUGACGGUAGCGGGAGAAGAAGCCCCGGCUAAUUCCGUGCCAGCAGCCGCGGUAAUACGGAAGGGGCUAGCGUUGUUCGGAAUUACUGGGCGUAAAGCGCGCGUAGGCGGCCAUGCAAGUGAGGCGUGAAAGGCCUGGGCUCAACCUGGGAACUGCGCUUCAGACUGCACGGCUCGAGUCCGGGAGAGGGUGGUGGAAUUCCACGUGUAGCAGUGAAAUGCGUAGAGAUGUGGAGGGACACCAAUGGCGAAGGCAGCCCCCUGGGUCGAUACUGACGCUCAUGCACGAAAGCGUAGGUAGCAAA